rnacentral:lncRNA from 1 species
AUCAAACUAUACUAAACAAAGAACUGCCAUCCACUCUGCCCCUAACAACACUACUGACAAGUGUUCUGCCUCGCUCCGGUCCCACCACGAUGGAGUCAGCCUUCAAUAAACAAAAACCUUCAAGUCAUGGGCCCAAAUACAUCUCUCCCCCACCCCACGACGGCAUCCAUCUCAGAUGCUUUCAGGAGUGAUGUAAAGUGACCAACUCGCUGUCUUAUUCUACAGGCUCUCAUAAAACCCGUCUCCCGGACCGACAAUAAAUUAUCUGUAGUAAGACCUCG